rnacentral:rRNA from 12 species
UGUGGUGUGGCUGCAUAAAUGCCUGAUCCUGUCAGAUGUUGGAAGCUAAGCAGGGCAAGGCCUGGUCAGGACUUAAAUGGGAGACCUCUGUGGAAGACCAGGGGCCACCACAC